rnacentral:lncRNA from 10 species
GCCAACAGGAGCUGGUAAUCAGGAUGGCAGUGAGGCAGGCACUUGCUUGCAGAAGAACAGGCCUAGUUUUUUAAGAAGCCACAAAAGUGUCUUUGGAUGAUUAGGAUCUAAGGGGCCAACAGCUUUGCAAUAACAGCAUAAAUAUUGUGGGCUGGAUGGACAGGCACCAAAUGGGGACAUUCCAUCCUGCUGUGUGAUGAGAAAGCUGCCACUUUUGAGGCCUUCCAAAACAAAUCAACACUCCAUAUGCCAGAAGGAAAAGCCCAGGAAAGACCUAUUCCAACUGGAGAUGGUGAAUGUCAUUUCUUCAAGAAGCUGAGAUCCAGCUGGUACUGCCAGGUGGAGAGUGAGUUGGGAAUACGAAGGGAGAAUGAAACAAAACUGCUCCGCUUAGGGAACUUGGAAAGGAAAUUGAAAAGGCAAGGCACAGGCUGGAAGAAAAUAUUUGAAAAAGAUUUAUGUGAACUUCUUUCUGGAUUAUACAAAAUAUUUUUAGAUAUUCUUACAACUCUAAAAUAAGAUAACUCCUUAAAAAUCUAAAUUCUACCAAAGGAGAGAUAAAGAUGACGAAUACAUUCAAAGAUGCUGAAAAUCACUUAUUUAUUAUUAGGAAGUUACAAGCUAAAGCAUAAUGAGAUACCACUACAACCUACUAAACUGACUAAAAUUAAUCAGACUAACCAGGUGUUGGCAAGAAACAGGG